CGGAGCUAACGAAUUCGCCCUUCUUGGUCAUUUAGAGGAAGUAAAAGUCUAACAAGGUUUCCGUAGGUGAACCUGCGGAAGGAUCAUUACCGAGUUAGGUCUUAUAGGCCCGACCUCCAACCCUUUGUUUACUACACCAUGUUGCUUGGCGGGCCCGCCUUUUGGGGCCGCCGGGGGUUUACAAGCCCCUGGUCAGGUUCGCCAGUAGCCUUAUUAAAUUCUUUUAUAAUUAUGUCGUCUGAGUAAAAUAUAAAUCGUUAAAACUUUCAACAACGGAACUCUUGGUUCUGGCAUGAUGAAGAACGCAGCGAAAUGCGAUAAGUAAUGCGAAUUGCAGAAUUCAUGAGUCGUCGAAUCUUUGAACGCAUAUUGCGCCCUUUGGUAUUCCGAAGGCAUGCCUGUUCGAGCGUCAUUAUCAACCAUCAAGCCUGGCUUGUCGUUGACCUCUUUACCGCUGAAAUAUGUGGUAGGUCCGAAAGAUAAUGACGGCUCGUGUUUGACCCUAGAAGCGAAGAGGUUUUUUUAUUACCCCAUUUAGAGGGUGGCCCGCCCACCCUGUUUAACCAUUAUUUUUCUAAGGUGACCUCGAUCAGGUAGGAAUACCCGCUGAACUUAAGCAUAUCAAUAAGCGGAGG
rnacentral:rRNA from 1 species